UACGAAGGGGGCUAGCGUUGUUCGGAGUUACUGGGCGUAAAGGGCGCGUAGGCGGCCCUCCAAGUCGGGUGUGAAAGCCCACGGCUCAACCGUGGAAUUGCACUCGAUACUGUCGGGCUCGAGUUCGGAAGAGGUGAGUGGAAUUCCUGGUGUAGCGGUGAAAUGCGCAGAUAUCAGGAGGAACACCAAUGGCGAAGGCAGCUCACUGGGACGAUACUGACGCUGAGACGCGAAAGCGUGGGGAGCAAACAGG
rnacentral:rRNA from 1 species